CACGUAGGGCGCGAGCGUUGUCCGGAAUUAUUGGGCGUAAAGAGCUCGUAGGCGGCUUGUCACGUCGGGGUGUGAAAGCCCCGGGGCUUAACCCCGGGUCUGCAUUCGAUACGGGCAGGCUAGAGUGUGGUAGGGGGAGAUCGGAAUUCCUGGUGUAGCGGUGAAAUGCGCAGAUAUCAGGAGGAACACCGGUGGCGAAGGCGGAUCUCUGGGCCAUUACUGACGCUGAGGAGCGAAAGCGUGGGGAGCAAACAGG
rnacentral:rRNA from 1 species